AAACUUUCAUACCCAGACUGAGACCCAAGGGACCAAAGAUUCAUAAAAGGGUUAGUCACUGCAUAAAGGCAAAGAGUUUUAGAACAUGGAACAUGAAAUUACAGAAAUUCCAGAUUUUUUCCAAACCUAAAAAACUGUAGGGUCAGGUGCGAAAAAUUAAGGAUAUUGGAACAAAAUAAGAAGAAUAAUUGUCAAGUGCCCACUGAUGCUGGAGUCCAUGCUGUAGAAAAGACAUGAAACAGACGUGAGAAAAUGUCGACAUCAGUCAUCUAUGAAGAUGGAGAUUGCCUCUAUUCUAAAAUUUCCGAGGAAAAUGGUGUUGUCUGCCUCAUCCAAUGAUCACUCCAUUUGCAGACUACCAGGUUUCAAUCUGAAGUAUACAUAGGAAGAGCAAAAUCUUUCUCAUUCAUAUACAAUGUAAACACUUACAACCUGUGAUCCAGAAAAAUGUCCUGAUUGUUUAGUCCAACAUAAGAUGGAUUUC